AAAGGCUGUCUAUUGAAAGAAUCU
rnacentral:piRNA from 1 species